rnacentral:rRNA from 1 species
CCUACGGGGCGCACCAGUGGGGAAUAUUGCACAAUGGGCGCAAGCCUGAUGCAGCCAUGCCGCGUGUAUGAAGAAGGCCUUAGGGUUGUAAAGUACUUUCAGUUGGGAGGAAGGCGUUGAUGCUAAUAUCAUCAACGAUUGACGUUACCAACAGAAGAAGUACCGGCUAACUCCGUGCCAGCAGUCGCGGUAAUACGGAGGGUGCAAGUGUUAAUCGGAAUUACUGGGCGUAAAGCGCACGCAGGCGGUUGAUUAAGUUAGAUGUGAAAUCCCCGGGCUUAACCUGGGAAUGGCAUCUAAGACUGGUCAGCUAGAGUCUUGUAGAGGGGGGGUAGAAUUCCAUGUGUAGCGGUGAAAUGCGUAGAGAUCUGGAGGAAUACCGGUGGCGAAGGCGGCCCCCUGGACAAAGAUUGACGCUCAGGUGCGAAAGCGUGGGGAGCAAACAGGAUUAGAUACCCUAGUAGUC